UUGAGUGAAAAAAUAGUAAUAAUAAUAAAAAGGUUACAAAGUAUAGCAAGACAAAGGUGUACCUAAACACCUCUAUUCCUUUAUCAAAGAAACAUUUUAAAAAGAAUAACAUAUCUAUAUUUUUGCCUCUUUAUGGAGACAAAAAAGGAUAGUGCAUUUGUCUUUUGAGGGCUCGAGGCUAAUGAACUUACUUACAUACCACUUCUUUUUUUUUUAAAUUAAAAAAUGCAAUUACUUCCACUUCUGUAGUUAUCUUCAUCUUACGUCAUUCUUCUUAUUGAUAUCCUUAUGAUUGGACUGGAACACUUUACCUCAAUUCAAUGCAAAAAUGACAGAUUUCUCUUUCAUUUUCUGGCUAAGAAAAUGCCAAGAUGGCCUUCGAAUAUGAAACCCUGAAAAUUUUGGAUCGACUUACACACAGUAUUACCGACAAUGCUGCAAUAGCAAAAAUUGUUUAAUUUGAAGGUGGGUCUGGAUCCAUCAACCAAAAGUUUGUGGACUCUUCUGAAUUAGUGGCAAACUCUGCUUCUUCAUAAUCUGAAAGAGGUAUUUCAAGAACAGAACUACUAAGACGUAUAAUGUUACUGAUCUUGAAUGAAAAAUUGACACCAGAACUCCCAGAGGGAACUGCAUAGCCAGCAACAUAAAAAGCUUGAACUCGUGCCACUCCAAGGAACUUGCUGCUUCUAGCUUUCCAGAAGGGUCUGCAUCUACUUUCUUUGCAUAAAUAUUGUAUUUUGGGAAGGU